UGAGGAACAUGACUUUCGGCGGGGGAUAGCCGGCCCAACGGCCGGGUAAUACCGCGUACGACCUUUUGGGGACAUCCCUGAUUGGUGAAAGCAGCAAUGCGCCGAAAGAGUGCCUCGCGGCCUAUCAGCUAGUUGGUGGGGUAAUGGCUCACCAAGGCAACGACGGGUAGCUGGUCUGAGAGGAUGGCCAGCCACAUUGGGACUGAGACACGGCCCAGACCUCCUACGGGAGGNAGCG
rnacentral:rRNA from 1 species